ACUGUGGCUCAGUCGGUAGAGCAGCUGAUUCGUAAUCAGCAGGUCGGCGGUUCGAAUCCGCCCAG
rnacentral:tRNA from 2 species